rnacentral:rRNA from 1 species
CAGCAGCCACGGUAAUACGGAGGGGGCUAGCGUUGUUCGGAAUUACUGGGCGUAAAGCGCACGUAGGCGGCUUUGUAAGUUAGAGGUGAAAGCCCGGAGCUCAACUCCGGAAUUGCCUUUAAGACUGCAGAGCUAGCAGGUGAGAGAGGUGAGUGGAAUUCCGAGUGUAGAGGUGAAAUUCGUAGAGAUCGGGAGGAACAUCAGCGGCGAAGGCGGCCAUCUGGGACAACACUGACGCUGAGGCACGAAAGCGUGGGGAGCAAACAGGAUUAGAUACCCGCGUAGUCCCUGUCUCUUAUAC